AACGGGCCUACCAAGGCGAUGAUGCAUAGCCGAGUUGAGAGACUGAUCGGCCACAUUGGGACUGAGACACGGCCCAAACUCCUACGGGAGGCAGCAGUAGGGAAUCUUCCACAAUGGACGCAAGUCUGAUGGAGCAACGCCGCGUGAGUGAAGAAGGGCUUCGGCUCGUAAAGCUCUGUUGUUGGUGAAGAAGGACAGGGGGUAGUAACUGACCUUUGUUUGACGGUAAUCAAUUAGAAAGUCACGGCUAACUACGUGCCAGCAGCCGCGGUAAAU
rnacentral:rRNA from 1 species